AAAUCUGAGAUCGAUAAAUUUAA
rnacentral:snRNA from 1 species